CGGUGAUCAGAUUGCGGUGAUCGACUACCCGCAAAAGAUGAUGUGUUCUGAACACAGUACUGUAAAACGUUUACUGAUUCAAAUUUGAAUUUCAAAUUUAAAUGCAUGCUGUUGUAUCAUAUUUAGAUCCUUGUGUAGGGUUAAUUAGUAUUAAUUAAUGAGAUUAAUUAAUAAUUCCGCUGUAAAAUAGUAAUUUUGAAAAAGUUUUAAAAUUACCAUUUUGCCCCUGCACUAAAUUUUCGCUUC
rnacentral:lncRNA from 1 species